ACAAGAGCAUUUCUCAAAGUAUAAGCUUGUAAGUGUUCUUGAGAGAUUAGAAGCUAGGUUUAAACCAAGAUAGAUACUGAAAAGGUCUUGAGGUUAAAAUACACUUGUAAUCUCUGAUAUCUAGUGGAUUCCGGGAUACCGUUCCCGGCUCAGACUAAUACCCUCGUUAACGGGUGUAACUGGAGUAAACAUAAAGGUUCGAUCUUGGUGUGUGUGUGUGUUGAAGGUUGAAGCAUCGGAGACGUCCAAAGGCGGAGACUUUCCUCACAAGUUCGAACCCCAAGUUUCUUUCAGAAGUCUAGAGGCCGGACGUGUUUUAUAACACAUUCCACUAAAAACCGUUUGGAUUUGGGAAACAUAUGCCAGAGCUACACCAUUGUAUAUAAGAAACAUAUACAUACAUGUCUAUCAACGACUGUUUCAACAAUUUAUAUUAGGUUUUCAAUCUUUUAUUAUGGAUGCAUGAUGCAUCACAAUUUUCAAUGGUGAAACUUGGUUAAAUGUAAUAUGGUUUAGUAUGGUUUAAAGUUUUACCAAUU